GACGAACGCUGGCGGCGUGCCUAAUACAUGCAAGUCGAACGGGAUUCUUUGAUCAGCUUGCUGAGAGAAGGAUCUAGUGGCGGACGGGUGAGUAACGCGUGGGAAUCUGCCUCUUACUGGGGGAUAACAGUGGGAAACUACUGCUAAUACCGCAUAAGAUCUUCGGAUGAAAGGUGCAACUGCACCGGUAAGAGAUGAGCCCGCGUCCCAUUAGCUAGUUGGUGAGGUAAAGGCUCACCAAGGCGACGAUGGGUAGCCGGCCUGAGAGGGUGAACGGCCACACUGGGACUGAGACACGGCCCAGACUCCUACGGGGGGCAGCAGUAGGGAAUUUUCGGCAAUGGGCGAAAGCCUGACCGAGCGACGCCGCGUGAGGGACGAAGGCCUUCGGGUUGUAAACCUCUGUCUGGGGGAGUGAGAACGGACGGUACCCCCGGACGGAAGCCCCGGCUAACUACGUGCCAGCAGCCGCGGUAAGCUACGUAGA
rnacentral:rRNA from 1 species